GUUUGAUUGGCAGAGAUAUGUGAUUGGUUUAGGACCAAUUUAUGAGAUAAAUAAUUCUUAUCAAAUA
rnacentral:tRNA from 1 species